AUGAAACUGAAUCUGAGGAAAAGAAGAAAGCUGAAAACACACUGAGGAUUAUGGGAGAGGGGCAAGUGCAUGAAGCUUCUCAAUGACAUACAGACACUCUAAAAGCUCAAGAGAUCAAUUAUUCAACUUCAAGAACUGAAAUUUGAACACAGAUUUUGAGCUUCCAAAUCAGGAGAAAAAGAAGUGUUCUAUAAGAAGUUUGGACAAGACUCUGCAAGAAGUUAAGAGCAGGUCCUUAAAGGCAACUGUGAAUUAACGGAGACUAGUUUUGAGAAAAUCAGUCCUGAUUUGUUUCUCCUGGAGUUUUCUUCUUUAUGUGAUCCUUCAUAAAAGCUGCUAAUAUGGGAAAGAUUGAAAUCAGCAAGUUUCUGGCUGUAAGCUAAAAGAGGCUCUUGAAUCAUAUUUCCGCCUGCUUAGCAAAUUUCUCUUGCGACAAUUGGAUGUUAUUUGGGGUUCCAUACUAGCAGGAAGAAGUACAAGCAAAGCUAAGUCAUUUUGAGAAUAAAUAUUAUCUCUCUAUAUAUUUGUAAAUGUUAUUUUCUUUUUUUUUGAGGUUUAUGAUUGAUCCUUGGCAUGUGUCCCCUUGUGUAUUGCUCUACUAA
rnacentral:lncRNA from 10 species